UUUUUUUUUUUUUUGAGAUGGAGUCUCACUCUGUCGCCCAGGCUGGAGCUGGAGUGCAAUGGCACGAUCUCGGCUCACUGCAACCUCUGCCUCCUGGCCUGGGCAGCCUCGUUCUUUAGAGUAAGACACUGUCUCUUUAAAAAAAAAAAAAAAGAAAAAAGAAAAAAAGAAAAGGCUUUUAGUGAAUAUAUUUUUAGGGUAGCAAGUGUAAUUUUUAUAAAUUGCAUUAUUUGAAUCUAAUAAAUACCCUCAAAGCUGAAGUCGAAUUCUGAUUUUGAUUGAAAAUAUUUUUUACUUAAAGGAAGAGGGAUAGAAUAAAUGACACGAUUAAGGAAAAGACUUCUUGUAUAAGGCCGGGGUUUUUUAAAUGAUUUUUUGAAUAGUUAGAUGGACAAUACGGAAUUAAAAAGGUGGUGUAAAAAGUUAUACGGGGCUGGGCACAGUGACUCACGCCUGCAAUCCCAGUACUUUGGGAGGCCGAGGUGGGUGGAUCACCUGAGGUCAGGAGUUCGAGACCAGCCUAGCCAACAUGACGAAACAUCAUUUCUACUAAAAAUACAAAAAUUAGCUGGGCUUGGUGGUAUGCACCUGUAAUCCAGCUACUCGGGAGGCUGAGGCAGAAGAAUCGUUUGAACCCAGGAGGCAGAGGUUGCAGUGAGCCAAGAUCGUGCCAUUGCACUCCAGCCUGGGCGACAGAGUGAGACUCCAUCUCAGAAAAAUAAUAAUAGAAAAAAGUUAUAUGGGGCUGGGCAUGGUGGCUCAUGCCUGUAAUCCCAGCAGUUUGGGAGGCUGAGGCAGCUUGAUCACUUGAGGUCAGGAAUUCGAGACUAGCCUGGCCAACAUGGUGAAACUCCGUCUCCACUAAAAAUACAAAAAUUAGCCAAGCGUGGUGGUGCGUGCCUGUAGUCCCAGCUACUUGGGAAGCUGAGGCAGGAGAAUCGCCUGAACCUGGGAGGCAGAGGUUGCAGUGAGCCAAGAUCAUGCCGUUGCACUCCAGCCUGGACGACAAGAGCGGAACUCCGUCUC
rnacentral:lncRNA from 1 species